rnacentral:rRNA from 1 species
UACAGAGGAUGCAAGCGUUAUCCGGAAUGAUUGGGCGUAAAGCGUCUGUAGGUGGCUUUUUAAGUCCGCCGUCAAAUCCCAGGGCUCAACUCUGGACAGGCGGUGGAAACUACCAAGCUGGAGUACGGUAGGGGCAGAAGGAAUUUCCGGUGGAGCGGUGAAAUGCGUAGAUAUCAUUUGGAACGCCAACGGUGAAAACAGCUGGCUGGGGGUGUGCUGACGCUGAGACACGAAAGCCAGGGGAGCGAACGGG